rnacentral:rRNA from 1 species
GGGGAAUAUUGGACAAUGGGGGAAACCCUGAUCCAGCAAUGCCGCGUGAGUGAUGAAGGCCUUAGGGUUGUAAAGCUCUUUUACCCGAGAUGAUAAUGACAGUAUCGGGAGAAUAAGCUCCGGCUAACUUCGUGCCAGCAGCCGCGGUAAUACGAGGGGAGCUAGCGUUGUUCGGAAUUACUGGGCGUAAAGCGCGCGUAGGCGGUUUUUCAAGUCAGGGGUGAAAGCCCGGAGCUCAACUCCGGAACUGCCCUUGAAACUGGAUGACUUGAGUAUUGGAGAGGCAAGUGGAAUUCCGAGUGUAGAGGUGAAAUUCGUAGAUAUUCGGAAGAACACCAGUGGCGAAGGCGACUUGCUGGACAAUUACUGACGCUGAGGUGCGAAAGCGUGGGGAGCAAAC